AUCUUCAAUUUUUAUAGAUGGUUUAAGAUUCAUAAAAGUUUGUUUUCCCAGGGUGAGGCUUAUCCAUCCAUUGUACUCUGCAUGUGCUGACCCCUGUCAUUUCCCCAAAUGUAGGAAACUCAACUGUGUAAUGUGAGGUAGUGGAGGACUUCAUGUUCUCCC
rnacentral:snRNA from 1 species